AUUGAACGCUGGCGGCAUGCCUUACACAUGCAAGUCGAACGGCAGCACGGGAGCAAUCCUGGUGGCGAGUGGCGAACGGGUGAGUAAUAUAUCGGGAACGUGCCCAGUCGUGGGGGAUAACGUAGCGAAAGCUACGCUAAUACCGCAUACGAUCUAUGGAUGAAAGCGGGGGAUCGCAAGACCUCGCGCGAUUGGAGCGGCCGAUAUCAGAUUAGGUAGUUGGUGAGGUAAAGGCUCACCAAGCCGACGAUCUGUAGCUGGGUCUGAGAGGACGACCAGCCACACUGGGACUGAGACACGGCCCAGACUCCUACGGGAGGCAGCAGUGGGGAAUUUUGGACAAUGGGCGCAAGCCUGAUCCAGCAAUGCCGCGUGCAGGAUGAAGGCCUUCGGGUUGUAAACUGCUUUUGUACGGAACGAAACGGUGAGCUCUAAUACAGUUUGCUAAUGACGGUACCGUAAGAAUAAGCACCGGCUAACUACGUG
rnacentral:rRNA from 1 species